rnacentral:rRNA from 1 species
UACGUAGGGUGCGAGCGUUGUCCGGAAUUACUGGGCGUAAAGCGCGCGUAGGUGGUUCGUUAAGUUAGGAGUGAAAGCCCCCGGGCUCAACCUGGGAAUUGCUUCUAAAACUGGCGAGCUAGAGUAUGGUAGAGGGUGGUGGAAUUUCCUGUGUAGCGGUGAAAUGCGUAGAUAUAGGAAGGAACAUCAGUGGCGAAGGCGACCACCUGGACUGAUACUGACACUGAGGUGCGAAAGCGUGGGGAGCAAACAGGAUUAGAUACCCCGGUAGUCCCUGA